UCCAUGGCCGUUUACUUGUACCACGGCGUACACCACGUACUACAAUGGCCGGUACAAAGAGUUGCGAUACCGCGAGGUGGAGCUAAUCUCAUAAAGCCGGUCUCAGUUCGGAUUGGAGUCUGCAACUCGACUCCAUGAAGUUGGAAUCGCUAGUAAUCGCGGAUCAGCACGCCGCGGUGAAUACGUUCCCGGGCCUU
rnacentral:rRNA from 1 species